GGGAACGUACCCUUCGGUUCGGAAUAACUCAGGGAAACUUGAGCUAAUACCGGAUGCGCCCUUUUGGGGAAAGGUUUACUGCCGAAGGAUCGGCCCGCGUCUGAUUAGCUUGUUGGUGGGGUAACGGCCUACCAAGGCGACGAUCAGUAGCUGGUCUGAGAGGAUGAUCAGCCACACUGGGACUGAGACACGGCCCAGACUCCUACGGGAGGCAGCAGUGGGGAAUAUUGGACAAUGGGCGCAAGCCUGAUCCAGCCAUGCCGCGUGAGUGAUGAAGGCCUUAGGGUUGUAAAGCUCUUUUGUCCGGGACGAUAAUGACGGUACCGGAAGAAUAAGCCCCGGCUAACUUCGUGCCAGCAGCCGCGGUAAUACGAAGGGGGCUAGCGUUGCUCGGAAUCACUGGGCGUAAAGGGCGCGUAGGCGGCCGAUUAAGUCGGGGGUGAAAGCCUGUGGCUCAACCACAGAAUUGCCUUCGAUACUGGUUGGCUUGAGACCGGAAGAGGACAGCGGAACUGCGAGU
rnacentral:rRNA from 1 species